CAAAAACAUAGUCAUAUGAAAAGAUAUUUGAUAAUUUCUGCUCAAUGAACUAAAUAGCUGCAGUACCCUGACUGUGCAAAGGUAGCGCAAUCAAUUGACUUUUAAUUGAAGUCCUGUAUGAAAGAAUAAAUGGGGGAUAACUUUAUUAAUAGUGAACAAUGAAUUUAAUCAGUAAGUGCAAAUACUUAUAAAUUAACAAUAGACGAGAAGACCCUGGAAAUUUUAAGAAGUGAUAUUAAAAUCUUUUUGUUGGGGCAACAUGACAACAUUUAACUUGUUUUAGAGACGUGUGCAAAAUUUUGAGAAAGAAUAAAUUACUCUAGGGAUAACAGCAUAAUUUAAAUAAAGUUUGUGACCUCGAUGUUGGAUUAGGGAAUUACUGUUUAGAAGGUAUGUUAUCGUCCUCUGUUCG
rnacentral:rRNA from 1 species